GGAUGUCAUGGGAAUUCUGCUUCUUGGCAAUUUUCAUGGAUUGUAAAAUUAGCUUACCAACUUGCAUAAAAACUUCUGUAUGUUAUUGAAUAUCAUCAGUUUUAGCAAGCAUUCUUGUCUCAUUCCUGAUUUUAGAGGAAAUACUUGAACUUCUCACUCGAAAGGAACUAAAAUAAUUCUGAGUACUAGCAAGGACUAAGAUGAAGUUCAAUGUCAUGACUGCAAAGUGAAAUGAUCAGAAGUUUCAUGGCCAUGAGUACUGCUGCCUGGCCCGGGCAUGAGAAAUGAGUUUGCUCUAGACUGCAGAUUGUGAAGACGAGCUUUGCAAAAAUCUAACAUCUAGUGCAUUCUGACUAUGGAGAGGACAUAAUUGAUACCUUGAGAUCUCCUGAACAUACUGACAUUUGGUGGUCAUUGCUUCCUCUCUGAACACCUUCCUUAAUGUGAGAAGGAACUUGGAGCCUUUCUUGACUACUGUGAUGUGCUGGCUCCCCAACAGAUACACCUGCAUCCUAAUCCCUAGAAACUGUGAAUGUGACCUUAUUUACAAAAAGAAUCUUUGCAGAUGUAAUUAAGUAUUUUAAGAUGAGAUCAUCCAGGAUUACCACUCAGCCCUAAAUCCAUUGACCAAGUGUCCUUAUAUGGGACAGAAAAGGAGAAAAAGGAUAAAACAGAAGGAAGUAAACAAAGCUCUCUGAUCACAGAGACAGAGAUUGGUGAUAUGCAACCACCAGCCAAGGGACACAUGGAACCACCAGAAGCCAGAAGAGCCAAGGAAAAAUUUUCCUCUGGAACAUUUAAAGGGAGCAUAGCCCUCUGAUGCUUUGAUUUAGGAUUUCUGACCUCUAGAACAAUGAAAGAAUAAAUUUGUGUGUUGGUUGGUUUAAGCCACCAAGUUUAUGGUUAUUUUUUACAGCAGCUCUAGAAAACUAAUACGACUGCCUUAUCUAAAAUAACACAUUCUGUUUUCUCACCUGCUUUAUUUUUCUUCAUAGUACCUGUCGCUACCUAAUACUAUUAUUAUUAUUUUGUUUG